GCUGUUGGAGGCUCUGUAACUUUAACAAAUGCUUUUCUCCUGCAGCAAUGCUCCAGGAGUCAGGACCUCUAUGCACAAACACUUGCAGGAUCCCACUGCGUGGGCCAGACCCCUGUGUAUAGGGAAAUACAACACUGUUUCCUCUUAGAGUUUGGGAAUUUUGUCCCCAUCAGGCAGAAGACUAAUCUCAGCCCUUUGUGCUGACUCUUCUGGUGUGGGGCUGGGGAAGCCCAGGUGAAGCCCAUCAUGUGGGGAGCCCUGGUAAUUCAGCUCAGGUGUAGAGCAAGUGUUUAAGGGAGCCUUCAGGGACUAAGGGUUUGCAAAGGCUUUGAUGAAGGUUUGGCUUAUGUAUCUGGGAAGUGUCAUUGGUUCUGGAACGUGUUUAAGUGGCCAAACAGCCAGAAGCAUACUAUGAAUCAGCAUACCAGGAACAGAAGUACUUACUUGCCGGCCUGGAUUCCUUCCCAUGUUGAAGAGAGCUUUAUGAGAAUCCGAUCUUUACCAAUUCCUGCUUCCUUAUAAAGGUCAAUAAGACGCCGGGCCCUCUGAAUCAUUCCUUCCUUAUCAAAGGACAACCUUUGGAACAAGAGUAGGACUUCUUAAGUUUUAUUAAAAAACACUCUCCAAAAGAAACAACAUUCAGAACCACUGUACUACGUUAACAGAAUUUAUGUACUAGUAGCAGGUUUUUCUUCUCAGAGAUACUUCCUUGACUGUCAAGUAGCCAUGACGCAGCACUGCUACUGUUUAAUUCGGAGAAUCUGGAGUUCGACGUAACUUUCUCUGACAGUUAUAUUUUCCUCAAGUUUUUCCAUAAUGAAUGUAAAGUCACUUCUAAGGCUCAGCUUUUACAAGGAGCACAUCGACAGACAAAUCCUAUGCAAGUCACUAAAUAAAUUGCUAAAGCAGAUCUCUUGGAAAAUUGAGGACUAUCACACAAGAGAAUGAGUAAAGUUCGAGGUAUGUUAGAAGCAUAGGGUUUCCCUUGACUAACAACCAGAAGGAGGACAACAAAGAUCAGAUCUCUACAUUACUUGUUCUUAUGAAGUUUUGUCACCAAGUUAUAACAAAGUCCUGAUCAAGCAAAUGAACUGCAAUUCAUUGUCUAAAUAUUAACAACACAAGCUCCUGGUACUCCUGUAACAGUGAACUGUCCAGUCAAGAACAUAUUUCUUCAGCUCACAUCAUCCCUUUUUGUAGGCACAAAUAUACAGGGUAACCCAGAGGAAAGAGAGCAAACCUUGCAUCUACUUCUGUGGACACGCGGCCAGGUAUCCUCUUCAAUAUUUCAGCUCCAAAUAAUACAAAAAGUUUGUCACAAGCAUUUUGUAUUUGCUCAUCUUCUGACCUAAAAAACAUGAGAACAAAAUCAUUUUUUAUGGGGGAGGGUAGCAUGUUCAGUACUUGCCACUGAUUUCAAGAUCAAAUUUCACAGUCUGUUUAACAUUCAAAUAACCACUUCUGCUCUGCUCCAUGUUUGUUCUGCUCUCUGUGUACCACCAAUAAUAUUAGCCUUCAGACACUAUUUCCUAUUACGCUGUCAACUCAGGAAUGUUUUCUGGAGCAGUCCUAGAAGGCUAUAUGAGAACUGAUAAAUGGAGAUAAACUGAACCUUGUAACAA